UGAGUCCUGCUGAAAGCAAGCGACAAAAAUCAAUUCACCUAAUUUCAUCAAAAUCAGUAUCACAAGAUGCCAUGGUUUCCUGAUGAACUGCACAAAGACCAGAGGAACUGCCCGAGCAAGCACUUUGCCGUGUCCGAUUGAUUUUGUAAACCAUGGUCAAAUACCUACACUAGUGACUGAUGAUUGAUUUCGAUAGGAAACCACAAGAUAAUGUGUUUAAAGUGAACCAUCCUAGCAAAAUAAUCAUCAAUCAAGGUGUCAAUUGUAAAAUUUGAUUCACCCUGACCUAUUUUUACUUGACCAAAACGGGGGAAAAACAGAAGAAAAAUAAUAGAAUUUUUUUUCUUUUCUUUCCCAUUGAAA